rnacentral:rRNA from 1 species
GAUGAACGCUGGCGGCGUGCUUAACACAUGCAAGUCGAACGGAAAGGCUCCUGCUUGCCGGGGUACUCGAGUGGCGAACGGGUGAGUAACACGUGGGUGAUCUGCCCUGCACUUCGGGAUAAGCCUGGGAAACUGGGUCUAAUACCGGAUAGGACGAUGGUUUGGAUGCCAUUGUAGAAAGUUUUUCGGUGUGGGAUGAGCUCGCGGCCUAUCAGCUUGUUGGUGGGGUAAUGGCCUACCAAGGCGUCGACGGGUAGCCGGCCUGAGAGGGUGUACGGCCACAUUGGGACUGAGAUACGGCCCAGACUCCUACGGGAGGCAGCAGUGGGGAAUAUUGCACAAUGGGCGCAAGCCUGAUGCAGCGACGCCGCGUGGGGGAUGACGGCCUUCGGGUUGUAAACUCCUUUCGCUAGGGACGAAGCGCAAGUGACGGUACCUGGAGAAGAAGCACCGGCUAACUACGUG